GAUUACUGUUGCACGGGAUGAUCGCGACAAGGAACCCCCAAUCCUGGAAAAGAUCAUUCUUUGAACGAAAGCGGGGUGGGUUUUUUUUUUUUUUUGACGAACUAAUGAAUCUUCAGCUGAUUGCUCGAGUGGUGUAUCGGAUGAACAUAUGAUCGAGGUAGGGUAGCGUAUUUUCGAUUGAGAAAUGCUAUGGCUGUUGAGACGGACACGACGAAUCCAGAAACCGGAGGAGAGAGGAGAAUAAUGAGAAGUGGAUUGUAUUGAGUUAAGGGGCUGUUU